rnacentral:rRNA from 1 species
UAGGGUUUGAUCCUGGCUCAGGACGAACACUGGCGGCAGGCCUAACACAUGCAAGUCGAGCGCACCUUUCGGGGUGAGCGGCGGACGGGUUAGUAACGCGUGGGAAUAUACCCUUUUCUACGGAAUAGCCUCUGGAAACGGAGAGUAAUACCGUAUGAGCCCUUCGGGGGAAAGAUUUAUCGGGAAAGGAUUAGCCCGCGUUAGAUUAGGUAGUUGGUGGGGUAAUGGCCUACCAAGCCUACGAUCUAUAGCUGGUUUUAGAGGAUGAUCAGCAACACUGGGACUGAGACACGGCCCAGACUCCUACGGGAGGCAGCAGUGGGGAAUCUUGGACAAUGGGGGCAACCCUGAUCCAGCCAUGCCGCGUGAGUGAUGAAGGCCUUAGGGUCGUAAAGCUCUUUCGCCUGUGAAGAUAAUGACGGUAGCAGGUAAAGAAACCCCGGCUAACUCCGUGCCAGCAGCCGCGGUAAUACGGAGGGGGUUAGCGUUGUUCGGAAUUACUGGGCGUAAAGCGCACGUAGGCGGACCAGAAAGUUGGGGGUGAAAUCCCGGGGCUCAACCCCGGAACUGCCUCCAAAACUAUUGGUCUAGAGUUCGAGAGAGGUGAGUGGAAUUCCAAGUGUAGAGGUGAAAUUCGUAGAUAUUUGGAGGAACACCAGUGGCGAAGGCGGCUCACUGGCUCGAUACUGACGCUGAGGUGCGAAAGUGUGGGG